rnacentral:rRNA from 1 species
CCUACGGGGGGCAGCAGUGGGGAAUAUUGGGCAAUGGGCGCAAGCCUGCCCCAGCAACGCCGCGUGAAGGAAGAAGGCUUUCGGGUUGUAAACUUCUUUUAAGAGGGAAGAGCAGAAGACGGUACCUCUUGACUAAGCCACGGCUAACUACGUGCCAACAGCCGCGGUAAUACGUAGGUGGCAAGCGUUUUCCGGAUUUACUGGGGGUAAGGGGCGUGUAGCCGGGCUGACAAGUCAGAUGUGAAAUUCCGGGGCUCAACCCCGGACCUGCAUUUGAAACUGUUGGUCUUGAGUAUCGGAGAGGCAGGCGGAAUUCCUAGUGUAGCGGUGAAAUGCGUAGAUAUUAGGAGGAACACCAGUGGCGAAGGCGGCCUGCUGGACGACAACUGACGGUGAGGCGCGAAAGCGUGGGGAGCAAACAGGAUUAGAUACCCUAGUAGUC